UUCCUUGCUACUUAGCAAAAAGCUAAGGACCU
rnacentral:piRNA from 1 species